rnacentral:lncRNA from 1 species
GUUUAUGAAGAACACAAAAUCAAAUGGAGUUAACGUAAAGGCUUAAAAAGGGAAAAUGAUCUGAUCCGUCACAUUCAUAUCCUUUGAUCUUUGAAGGUGCUAGACGGAGUAAUGAUGAUGGAGUCACGGAGGGAGAAUGUUACGGAACAGAGAAAUCUAAAUUUGAAGUUGCUAGACGGGGUAAUAAUGAUUUGUAUAGGGGAUAUGUGAUGAAUGCUUGUAAGAUGUGUGUAUGUGUAACGUAUGCUUGUAUAGAUGAGAUAAAUGUGUGGGAUGUGGAUGGUGCAUGUAGAUGAAUGUGUAGGAAGUGGAUGGUGUAGAUGAAUGUGUAGGAUGUGGAUGGUGAAGAUGAAUGUGUAGGAUGUAGAUGGUGUAUGUAAUGUGUAGGAUGUAUAUAGGAAGAUGGUGUAGCAAGUGGAUGGUGUAGUAGAUAAAAAGGUGUAGGAUGUGAUGGAUGAAUGUGUAGGAAGUGGAUGGUGUAGAUGAAUGUGUAGGAUGUAUAGAAAUGUGAAUAUGUGAUGAAUGUGUAAGAUGAAUUUAGUAUUGAAUUGUAGGAUAAGUG